rnacentral:rRNA from 1 species
UACGUAGGGUGCGAGCGUUGUCCGGAAUUAUUGGGCGUAAAGGGCUCGUAGGCGGUUUGUCGCGUCGGGAGUGAAAAUCCAGGGCUUAACUCUGGACUGGCUUCCGAUACGGGCAGACUAGAGGUAUGCAGGGGAGAACGGAAUUCCUGGUGUAGCGGUGAAAUGCGCAGAUAUCAGGAGGAACACCGAUGGCGAAGGCAGGUCACUGGGCCGCAACUGACGCUGAGGAGCGAAAGCAUGGGGAGCGAACAGG